UACGUAGGGUGCGAGCGUUAAUCGGAAUUACUGGGCGUAAAGCGUGCGCAGGCGGUUUUGUAAGCCAGGUGUGAAAUCCCCGGGCUCAACCUGGGAAUGGCAUUUGGGACUGCAAGGCUGGAGUGCGGCAGAGGAGACUGGAAUUCCUGGUGUAGCAGUGAAAUGCGUAGAUAUCGGGAGGAACACCUGUGGCGAAAGCGGCGCACUGGACCAUAACUGACGCUGAUGCGCGAAAGCUAGGGGAGCAAACAGG
rnacentral:rRNA from 1 species